rnacentral:rRNA from 1 species
CGGAGGCUACCGCUAUUGGAGUUCGAUUAAGCCAUGCGAGUCGAGAGUCUUAGGGACUCGGCGUACCGCUCAGUAACACGUGGGUAACCUGCCCUAUGCUGGGGAAUAACCUCGGGAAACUGAGAAUAAUGCCCCAUAGUCCACAAUGCCUGGAACGGUUUGUGGAUCAAAGCUCCGGCGGCAUAGGAUGGGCCUGCGGCGUAUCAGGUUGUAGGGGGUGUAACGUACCCUCUAGCCAUCAACGCGUACGGGUGUUGGGAGACAUAGCCCGGAGAUGGAUUCUGAGACACGAAUCCAGACCCUACGGGGUGCAGCAGGCGCGAAAACUUGGCAAUGCGAGAAAUCGUGACCAGGGAACUCCAAGUGGCUGGGGUAAGACCCAGUCUUUUCUUGACUCUUCAAAGGUCUUGGAAUAAGGGGUGGGUAAGGACGGUGCCAGCCGCCGCGGUAAUACCGGCGCCUCAAGUGGUAGUCGAUUUUAUUGGGCCUAAAACGUCCGUAGCCUGUUUGGUACAUUCGUGGGUAAAUCAACCAGCUCAACUGGUUGAAUUCUGCGAGCACGGCCAGACUUGGGACCGGGAGAGGUGUGGGGUACGCUCAGGGUAGGGGUAAAAUCCUGUCAUCCUGAGCGGACCACCUGUUGCGAAGGCGCCACACUAGAACGGAUCCGACGGUCAGGGACGAAGCCUAGGGGCACGAACCGGAUUAGAUACCCGGGUAGUCCUAGGUGUAAACGCUGUGGACUUGGUGUUGGGGACUCUCCGAGAUUCCUCAGUGCCGAAGCGAAGGUGAUAAGUCCACUGCCUGGGGAGUACGGUCGCAAGGCUGAAACUUAAAGGAAUUGGCGGGG